rnacentral:rRNA from 1 species
AACGUAGGGGGCCAGCGUUGCUCGGAAUUACUGGGCGUAAAGGGUCCGUAGGCGGUGUGACAAGUCGGUAGUGAAAUCUCUGGGCUUAACUCAGAGGCUGCUGCCGAAACUGUUGUGCUAGAGUGCGAGAGAGGCGAGUGGAAUUGCGGGUGUAGCGGUGAAAUGCGUAGAUAUCCGCAGGAACAUCCGAGGCGAAAGCGGCUCGCUGGAUCGCAACUGACGCUGAGGGACGAAAGCUAGGGGAG